rnacentral:misc_RNA from 1 species
UCGGGAAUCGAUUGAGAGACCGCGAACCUGUAAACGGAUGAUACCGAGUCGGGCAGGCGUUAUGCCAGCCCAACUCGGGACCUCGCAUCAUGUCCGCGGCUACCUUAGAGUGUUUCGGGAAUGAUUUGCGGUGGAUGAACGAAACCCCGGUACGUCCUGUGCCAAGGAGCAUAUGUCAGGACGGACGCUCGUUAAUGCCUCAGUGGUGGGGCAACGUUCGCUCUCUAUC